rnacentral:lncRNA from 1 species
CACGGGCAUGAGUAAUGGGAGUCUCUUUUCUUUUCUUCCCAUUCAAGAACAAGCCAGGACAAGUGAUUCUGGAAAAGGGGAGGGGACUGGCGAGGGGGAGAGGAUACUUACGCGGUGCAGAGGGCAGUGGGACCGAGCGUGGUUUUGCCGGCAGGGAGAGGAGAACACGCGCGCGCACACACGCGGCGGUGUCUUGCGGGUGAUGAAUGUGAUAAUUGGACCGGGGCCGCCAGAUCCAGGAGAGAGGCAAACGUGGGCGUGGAUUUCGGAAGAAAGAUGCUGAAGAUCCUGCCUGGACGGACACGCACACAAAAGCAUCCACUAUCCAGCACCACCAGCACCACCCUGAAGAAGGGAAGAGAAAGAAAGAAAAACCAACUCCAGGGUGCAGGCCGGCCUGCUUCCGGCAGUCUAAAAGCAGACUGACCGCCAUUCUCUCCUUCCCCACCCCCCUAGCCCCGGUGCCCAGUGCGACGCCAAGCUCAACCUGGAUCUGUUCUGAAUGGGGGGGAAAGUGAAAUGCCACAAGAUCAGUAGCAAGUAGCAGCUGCAGCGUUUCUCUCCUGGGAACCCCACUGCUUAGAAGCCUCCCGAGUGAUGUUUGUUUAACCAACGGCUUUCAAAGUAAACAGAGGCGAAGCGCUCCAAAGAAGUUGAAAUAUAACCCUUACAAGAAUUUGGGGCCGGAGUGCUGGCGGAAAAAGUAAAAAAAAAAAAAUUUUUUUUUUUGUUUUAAAUAAUAAAGCUUCCAUCCCAAAUAAGAGCCCACCACAGUGCCUAAAGGAAACUAGAAGGGUCGUAAAAAUAUAAAUUUAU